GCUUAACACAUGCAAGUCGAGGGGCAGCAUUGUAGCUUGCUACAGAUGGCGACCGGCGCACGGGUGAGUAACGCGUAUGCAACCUGCCUUUUACAGUGGGGAUAGCCCAGAGAAAUUUGGAUUAAUACCCCAUAGCAUCAAAUUGCCGCAUGGCAAUAUGAUUAAAGAUUUAUCGGUAAAAGAUGGGCAUGCGUGGCAUUAGCUAGUUGGUAAGGUAACGGCUUACCAAGGCGACGAUGCCUAGGGGUUCUGAGAGGAUGACCCCCCACACUGGUACUGAGACACGGACCAGACUCCUACGGGAGGCAGCAGUGAGGAAUAUUGGUCAAUGGGCGAGAGCCUGAACCAGCCAUCCCGCGUGAAGGAAGACUGCCCUAUGGGUUGUAAACUUCUUUUCUGUCCCAAGAACGUGCGGUACGUGUACCGCAGUGACGGUAGGACAGGAAUAAGCAUCGGCUAACUCCGUGCCAGCAGCCGCGGUAAUACGGAGGAUGCGAGCGUUAUCCGGAUUCAUUGGGUUUAAAGGGUGCGUAGGCGGCUCCUUAAGUCAGUGGUGAAACCCUGCGGCCCAACCGUAGAACUGCCAUUGAAACUGGGGGGCUUGAAUACAGAUGAAGUAGGCGGAAUGAGUAGUGUAGCGGUGAAAUGCAUAGAUAUUACUCAGAACACCGAUUGCGUAGGCAGCUUACUAAACUGAUAUUGACGCUGAGGCACCGAAAGCGUGGGGAGCGAACAGGAUUAGAUACCCUGGUAGUCCACGCAGUAAACGAUGUUCACUCGCUGUUUGCGAUAUACAGUAAGCGGCUUAGCGAAAGCAUUAGGUGAACCACCUGGGGAGUACGUCGGCAACGGUGAAACUCAAAGGAAUUGACGGGGGCCCGCACAAGCGGAGGAACAUGUGGUUUAAUUCGAUGAUACGCGAGGAACCUUACCUGGGCUUAAAUGUAGGUUGCAUGAGUUGGAAACACCCUUCCCUUCGGGGCCACCUACAAGGUGCUGCAUGGUUGUCGUCAGCUCGUGCCGUGAGGUGUCGGGUUAAGUCCCACAACGAGCGCAACCCUUACCGUUAGUUGCCAUCAGGUCAAGCUGGGAACUCUAACGGGACUGCCACCGUAAGGUGAGAGGAAGGUGGGGAUGACGUCAAAUCAGCACGGCCCUUAUGUCCAGGGCUACACACGUGUUACAAUGGCCGGUACAGAGGGCAGCUACACCGCGAGGUGGUGCUAAUCCUAAAAGCCGGUCCCAGUUCGGAUCGUAGUCUGCAACCCGACUACGUGAAGUUGGAUUCGCUAGUAAUCGCGCAUCAGCCAUGGCGCGGUGAAUACGUUCCCGGGCCUUGUACACACCGCCCGUCAAACCAUGGAAGCUGGGGGGACCUGAAGUC
rnacentral:rRNA from 1 species